rnacentral:tRNA from 1 species
GGGCACAUAGCUCAGCGGUAGAGCAGGCGUCUUAUACACGCCCGGUCCUAGGUUCGAAUCCUAGUGUGCCCA